AGGGAAUCUUCCGCAAUGGACGAAAGUCUGACGGAGCAACGCCGCGUGAGUGAUGAAGGUUUUCGGAUCGUAAAGCUCUGUUGCCAGGGAAGAACGUCCUUAAGAGUAACUGCUUAAGGAGUGACGGUACCUGAGAAGAAAGCCCCGGCUAACUACGUGCCAGCAGCCGCGGUAAUACGUAGGGGGCAAGCGUUGUCCGGAAUUAUUGGGCGUAAAGCGCGCGCAGGCGGCUGUUUAAGUCUGGUGUUUAAUCCUGGGGCUCAACCCCGGGUCGCACUGGAAACUGGGCAGCUUGAGUGCAGAAGAGGAGAGUGGAAUUCCACGUGUAGCGGUGAAAUGCGUAGAGAUGUGGAGGAACACCCGUGGCGAAGGCGGUUCUCUGGACUGUAACUGACGCUGAGGCACGAAAGCGUGGGUAGCAAAC
rnacentral:rRNA from 1 species